rnacentral:rRNA from 1 species
UACGAAGGGGGGCUAGCGUUGCUCGGAAUCACUGGGCGUAAAGCGCACGUAGGCGGAUUGCUAAGUCAGGGGUGAAAUCCUGGAGCUCAACUCCAGAACUGCCUUUGAUACUGGCGACCUUGAGACCGGAAGAGGUAAGUGGAACUGCGAGUGUAGAGGUGAAAUUCGUAGAUAUUCGCAAGAACACCAGUGGCGAAGGCGGCUUACUGGUCCGGUUCUGACGCUGAGGCGCGAAAGCGUGGGGAGCAAACAGG